rnacentral:lncRNA from 1 species
AUUUAUUUCAGGGAGUAGAACAAAAAUAUGAUAAUAAGUACCAAUUUGGCAGGAAAGGAGCCCAAGUGAUAGAGCUUGCCCCAGGGGCAUUUUUGGAAAAGAAGAUGUCACGCCCAUUUCGGUAAUUUCUGCAGAGGAAUGACGGACGAAGGGUUUCUUUCUCCUAAGAGCCGCCGCACAUCUGACGGCUGGCUUUAUCUUGAGUCUCUCGUCUGUAGCUUAAAGGAGAAAGGCUGGACUUUUCCCUUGGGGGGGGGCCUUUGGCUCGAAAAAAACCUCCUGCGGGCAUGGCAGGAGCAAAAGACAACUUAGCUUAGCUUUUGGUCUCCCUGGCAUGUCAGGAAGCAUUUUGGUAGCUUUAGCUUUGACUUUUCCUUUUAGCCUUGAGUAGUUUUCUUUUCUCCGUAUGUUAGGAGAAGCAAAAACAAUGGAUACUUCCAGUAGCUUUUCUUUUCAGUCAGUAUUCCAUCGGAUCGAAUUUGUACAUUUUCCAAUUGAUGGCUGCAGUUUCCUCUUCAAUUUUGCGUGGGAUUUGUUCACCAAAAUGAACUAAUUCCCUUUUUC